GACGAACGCUGGCGGCGUGCUUAACACAUGCAAGUCGAACGAUGAACCCGGGGCUUGCUCCGGCGGAUUAGUGGCGAACGGGUGAGUAACACGUGAGUAACCUGCCCUUGACUCUGGGAUAACUGCUAGAAAUGGUAGCUAAUACCGGAUACGACCCUCGGUGGCAUCACCAGGGGGUGGAAAGAAUUUCGGUCAAGGAUGGACUCGCGGCCUAUCAGCUAGUUGGUGAGGUGACGGCUCACCAAGGCGACGACGGGUAGCCGGCCUGAGAGGGUGACCGGCCACACUGGGACUGAGACACUGCCCAGACUCCUACGGGAGGCAGCAGUGGGGAAUAUUGCACAAUGGGCGCAAGCCUGAUGCAGCAACGCCGCGUGAGGGAUGACGGCCUUCGGGUUGUAAACCUCUUUUAGUAGGGAAGAAGCGAAAGUGACGGUACCUGCAGAAAAAGCACCGGCUAACUACGUGCCAGCCGCCGCAGUAA
rnacentral:rRNA from 1 species